UUUCUUGUAUUUAUACCGAGAAGCACAGAGUAAAUAAAACCCAAAUAUAUUUCAAAUCCUCAGAAGGGUCUUUUCUCUGCCUACACAAUUGAAAAGCACUUGUCACAGUAAAUUUACCUGAAGAUGUUGGCAUCCACCAUGGAAUAUCCCAUGGUGACGCCUCCUUACUGAUAAAGAUAUUCUCUUGUACAUACUGGGCUAUAUCAUAAGGCAAUACAUCUAUCAACUUCUGAAAAUUUCACCUGUCUUCAUCCAUCAGAUGAUUAAUAUCUUCUGAUUCGUCCUUUAUCUCAAAAUCUGAUUCUACCACAUGGUAUAAAGCACCAAGUUUUGUCCAAUUAUCAAGCCAAAUACUUGAUGAACCAAAUGUAGGCUCCCACCAUAUUUCUUGUUCCAUGGAAUCUCUAGCUUCUAGCAUUUUCUUCCAAAUUUGAGACCCCCUUUUCCAUUGGACUAGUGCGGGAAUAACCUUUUUGCAAUACUUAUUCCACAUAUAAUCAGUCCACAAUGAUCUUGUGGUUCUGAAAGUCCACCAAAGCUUAUAAUACAUGGCUUUGGAUAUGUCAAAAAGGGAUCUAAAACCCAAUCCCCCUUUCUCCUUUGGAUAACACAUUUUAUCCCAAGCAAUCCAGUGUUUACUUUUACCCUCAUCCUUACUACUCCAUAAGAAUUUAUUAAAGAUUUUGUGCAGUUCAUACAAAAUCAUCUUUGGAGGAACCACUGCAGACUAUAGAUAUAAAGGAAUACUUUGCAAAACACUGCUAAUUAGUACGGCCUUGCCACCAUAUGUUAACAGCUUACCUUUCCAGUUCUGAAGCCUCCAUUUCACCUUCCUGAUCAAUUCAUUGUAAUAUGCUUUCCUUUUCCUAGCAAGAGUGAUAGGACAACCUAAGUAUGAAAAAGGAAAAGCUCCAUGUUGAAAACCUGUGAUCAAUUUUACCUCAUUUUGCAACUCGUUGGCCACUUUUUUGUACAUUUGGUAUUCUUCACGAAUUUUCAUCACUUUCUCUAAAGAAUACCUAUCAGUUGAUGUAAAUAUGAUGGUAUCAUCUGCAUAGGUCAAAUGAUUUAUCUCUCUACUCCACUUAGACAAACCAUAAACAUGAUAUCUACCAUCUUCACAAAGAGAGUUCAGAGCCCUAGAUUGAACUUCUGAUGUAAGGAUGAAGUAGGUGACAAAGGGUCACCCUGUUUAAUUCCUCUGGUAGAAUGAAAGAAACCAUUGGAUUUUUCAUUUAUAAUAAUGGAAUGCCAAUUAUUGGCCACCAAUCUCCAAAUCAUGUCAAUAAUCAUCUCUGAAAAACCCAUCUUUCUCAUCACUUUAGUAAGAAACAACCAGGAAACCCUAUCAUAAGCCUUUGACAUGUCCAGUUUUAUCACCACAUUUGCAGGCUUAACUCUCAAUCUUAUAUCGGAUACUAUCUCCUGUGUUAAUAAAACAUUCUCAAUAAUGUUUCUUCCCUUAAUAAAACCUGAUUGAUUUUUGGAAAUCAAUUUAGGUAACAAUCCCUCUAAUCUCUCAUGGAACACUUUAGAGAUUACUUUGUUAAUGAAAUUACUGAGAUUGAUUGGUCUUAAGUCAGUGAAUCCUUCAACCACUUCCUUCUUCGGGAUAAGAAUCAGAUUGGUAUGAGUAAUACUCUUUGGGAGGGUAUUACCUUUAAAGAAAUCUCUCACCAUUUCAAGAACAUCAUAUUUCACUAUUUUCCAGGAUUGUUGUUAAAAUAACCCUGAAAACCCAUCUGGCCCACAUGCACUGCUUCCAUUCAAACCAAAAACUGCCUUGUGAACUUCAUCCAAGAUUGGGAUUUCUAUCAAAACACUAUUUUCUGCAGCUGUUACCAUUUCCGACAAAUGGUUUAGAAGAUUAAAAAUAGAACUUUCCUCCUCUUGACUAAACUGAUUCUUGUAGAAACUGACUGUUUCAUCUGCAACCUCUUUAGCAUCCUCAAUCCAUUUUUCUUCAACAUUCUUGACUCUAUUUAGCUGUAGUCUUCUCCUUCUCCCCUUUACCAGACUAUGAAAAAAUCUUGUGUUUUUAUCUCCUUUAUCAAACCAUGUGAUUCCAGCUUUUUGUCUGCAAAAUUCCUCUUCAAAAUGAAGAUAUUUCUUAACUUCUGCUUGGGCUUUUUGCAAAACCAUCCUAUUGACCAAGGAUGGAUCCUCCUCAAAUAAAUGUUCCUUUAAUUUCAUGAUUUCUUCCCGAAUUUUCAGUUGCUGAAAAAUAUCACCAAAUCUUUGUUUGCUCCAAAUUCUCAAGACCUUUUUGAGAUUCUUCAACUUAUUUUUGAAUAGCCAGAAACUAUUCCCACUCUCAGUUGUGUGCUAAUUUUGAGAGACAACCUACUUGAAAGUUUCAUCCUUCACCCAAAAGGCUAAGAACUUGAAAGGCCUUAUGAUGUUUGAGGUUUCUCUAUUCAUUGUCAAGAACAAAGGGGCAUGAUCAGAUCCUGUUCUUGACAAAUGUUUCACUUCCAAAGUAGGUAACCAAUUCAGCAUAUGAGAGUUGACCAAUAAUCUAUCUAUCCUCUCAAAAACACAAUCAGCACCUGCUCUACCAUUCGACCAAGUAAAAGGACUUCCUUUAAAAAGAAUUUCUUCUAAAUCACAGGAAUUCACACAAAAUGCAAAAUCCUCCAUUUCCUGUAGAGAUACUGAUGGUUCUGUUUCUCCAGGAAAUUCAAUCUCCUCCUUCAACUCUGGAUGUAACACCCUACAAUCGACCUCACUAUGACCCUGGAGUUUACAUCUUUUACAAUAUACUGGUAAUGAAUCGUAUUGAAUUUUCACUUUCACAAUUCUUUUUUCCUUGCUUGAUUCAUUUUUAAUUUCCAUGUGAACAAAUUUAGGUUUCUCCACUAACAAAUCCAGUUGGAUCUUCACCCUGGCACAACUUGGGUGAGUUUUGUUCACAGUUGCUAAAUCCAGAUGGAGAGGCUUUCCCACAGCUGCUGCCAAUGAGAACAAAGCUUCUUUGACAAAAAAGGUGGGGAGGAGGUCUGGAAAUGAGAUCCACACAGUUGUUUGUGAGGUUUCUUUAUUUAGUUUGAACUUUGCAUCAUAAAUGAAGGGACGCAUCUGAUAUGAAGCACCAUCCUUUGCAGUGAUGUAAUAAGCAUUCUUAGACAUAAUAUUAAUGAAAUCUUCUUCUAGAUCAAAUCUCAUUAAGAUAUGUCUAUUUCUCAGAAAACCAAUCUUACAUUCACCUUUAAUCCCACACUGCUUAGGGAUUAAAUCCCUUAAUUCUGAUAAUUCAGGCUAGCCAUAAGAGAAUUUUCCAACAAUAGCGUAUUGCAAGUUUUCGAUUAUGUUCAUUCUGUUGACUUCUUGCUCCGUCCAUUUGACUACUGGAAUUCCAUCUAUUAGACCUACUUUCUUUAUUGGGAUGGGAUCGACUACAGUCGUUGUCUUUGUAACUUUAUUCAAAUAACCAUUAGGUUUGAUGAUCGCUGCAUAGGAGGUGGCUGGAGGAGAGAUGUUUGGAAAGAUUGGAUUUGAGAGUUGGGAUAUGUUAGUUGCUGAGGGUAAUGGUGGAAAAUCAGAAUGGUCAGCCAGCGGAGGCGGCUGACCAUCUACCGGAAUCAUGGAGGGAUGGUUAAUUGGAGGAGUGUUAUAUAUGGCAUUUCAAGAAAUUUACAACUUUUGGCCACUGUUACCCUUGGAUACAGGGAAUACCGCAAGAAUGGCCACUAUUGGUGGAUCUACUUCAAAAUUAUAGACCGGCAGUGAGAACUACCUAGGUUUUUUGGAAAUUUCCUAGCAAAAACUGGUUCAAAUGUUAUUCGGACGGGUCUUCUAAGGGUAAUCCUGGUCCAAGUUCAAUAGCUUUCUAUGUUAGAAACCAUGAGGGUGACAUACAGAUUGCUUUGUGUAAGCAAAUAGCAGACACCACUAGUUUAUUUUCAGAAGCUCUGUCUAUGAAAGAGGGUUGUGAUUACUGUUUUGACCACGGUUUUUCAUCACUCAUUCUAGAAAUGGAUUCCUUAGCACUCAUGAAGAUAGUGACAAGAGAAUGGGAAUGUCCAUGGAAAAUUGUGAUGUUAAUCAAGAGAAUAAGAAACUACAUGAAGGGAGGACAAUUGCAGAUUACUCAUACUCUCAGAGAAGGAAAUGCCUUGGCAGAUUUUUUAACUAACAAGUGUUUUAGUUUUGCAGGUACACAAGCUUAUAAAUCAUUUGCAGAAUUACCACAAGAGGCAAAAGGCAUCGCAAUCUUAGACAAGCAACAAGUUCCACAAUUAAGAAUCAAGAGGAUGAAGAAAAAAGCUACAGAUUAACAACACAGUCGGAAUAAAGCAUCAAAAGAGAGUACUUCGCAUUUAAGGAGAGUUUCAUUUAGUGAAAAAUAAUGCAGCAGCUACAAAAAAUUCAAACAGAUUUGAGCUCAAACACCCGAAAAACAAUAAGUACAGCUUGGAGAUAGCUCCAAUCGAAUUUGAAUACACAGCACCUGGUGAGAGUUUUAAGGUGACUUGAGUUGUAUUUGGUUCAAAGCAGCUUAUUUUUUUUGACUGUUUUGAAGCUCAAGAUUAAUCUACAGAGAGGAACAACAAGAUAUCUCAGAAAUGAUGGAAGAUUAUUUGAUUAGAUGUGGUUGUCGAAGACACCGGAACAACAAACAGAUUGAAAGGAGAUGUGAAGAAGAAGAAGAACAGUACACUUUCCAAUUUCCCUGUUUUGCCUUUAGGAUUAGAAAGUCUUUUGACUUCCCUAAUUUUCUUACUGCAAUUGGACUUGGGUCUUGUCUGACCUAAGUAUAUUUGUACAAGCUUUAACAUUUUGAUUUAAUAAAUGGCCCAAAAGGCCGAUCUUUGACUUAAAAAGAAAAAAAAAAGUACAUUGUUUUCCUUA